GUCUUUCAGGUAUUCAUACAGUUCUUUGCUCUCCCUGGGCUUAGUACACUGCAGAGAGACAAGAACUUGGGUAACAAACCUGUCACCAUUAGAGCCAUCCAGACCUCUUGAAUUGAUCCUCCUUGUUGCCCUCCCAACUGACAGCACAGCAAUGCCUUUCAUCUAAAGUGCCGAGGAGCCCUAGUGACAGACCAGGACCACAUUGUGCUAGAUGUCAUACAAACACAGAACAAAAAGAAAACCUUCCUGUCCGAAGAAGCUUGCAAUCUGUAUAUAAGACAAGAUGCAGAGGGAUAUACACAGAUAGAAGAGAACAAGAGUUCCAGUGCUGAAGGAAUUCAACUGGAGGAAACUUAGAUCAUAGCUACCAAAGCCUGAAUAGUGUUUGAAAGAGGAGAAUUAAAAAUGGAUGGACUUUGAUAUCCAAGUGCCCUGAGACCCAAGUUACAGGAACAAAGAUAAUAUGAACAGUUAGAACAACACGCCAGAACUUAGAUCCUCAACUAACAGCAACUAAACGUCAAAACUGAGAUGAGAACCUACUUGACCAAAAAAACAACAACAAAAAAACAAAAAAAAACAAAAAACACAGCUCAAAUGAUAUCAGUGGCAGCACAAUGUAGUUACACAGAUUGUUUGGCUCUGCAUCCACAUCCAGG